AUUGAACGCUGGCGGCAGGCCUAACACAUGCAAGUCGAGCGGAUGAAGGGAGCUUGCUCCUGGAUUCAGCGGCGGACGGGUGAGUAAUGCUUAGGAAUCUGCCUGGUAGUGGGGGAUAACGUCCGGAAACGGGCGCUAAUACCGCAUACGACCUGAGGGAGAAAGUGGGGGAUCUUCGGACCUCACGCUAUCAGAUGAGCCUAGGUCGGAUUAGCUAGUUGGUGGGGUAAGGGCCUACCAAGGCGACGAUCCGUAACUGGUCUGAGAGGAUGAUCAGUCACACUGGAACUGGGACACGGUCCAGACUCCUACGGGAGGCAGCAGUGGGGAAUAUUGGACAAUGGGCGAAAGCCUGAUCCAGCCAGGCGACGUGUGUGAAGAAGGUCUUCGGAUUGUAAGGCACUUUAAGUUGGGAGAAAGGGCAGUAAGUUGAUACCUUGCUGUUUUGACGUUACCAACAGAAUAAGCACCGGCUAACUUCGUG
rnacentral:rRNA from 1 species